rnacentral:rRNA from 1 species
CCUACGGGGGGCAGCAGUGAGGAAUAUUGGUCAAUGGGCGCGAGCCUGAACCAGCCACGUAGCGUGAAGGAUGACUGCCCUACGGGUUGUAAACUUCUUUUAUAAAGGAAUAAAGUGAGGCACGUGUGCCUUUUUGUAUGUACUUUAUGAAUAAGGAUCGGCUAACUCCGUGCCAGCAGCCGCGGUAAUACGGAGGAUCCGAGCGUUAUCCGGAUUUAUUGGGUUUAAAGGGAGCGUAGAUGGGUUGUUAAGUCAGGUGUGAAAGUUUGCGGCUCAACCGUAAAAUUGCAAUUGAUACUGGCAGCCUUGAGUACAGGUGAGGUAGGCGGAAUUCGUGGUGUAGCGGUGAAAUGCUUAGAUAUCACGAAGAACUCCGAUUGCGAAGGCAGCUUACUAAACUGCCACUGACAGUGAGGCUCGAAAGUGUGGGUAUCAAACAGGAUUAGAUACCCCGGUAGUC